GACGAACGCUGGCGGCGUGCUUAACACAUGCACGUCGAACGAAGUGGCGAACGGGUGAGUAAUACGUAGGUAACCUGCCCUCCUUUUUGGGCUAAGCCUUGGAAACGGGGUUUAAUACCGAAUUAAGGGGGAUGGGUUCUGGGCUUAUCAGCUUGUUGGGGGGUUGAUGGCCUACCAAGGCGGGUACGGGUAGCCGGCCUGAGAGGGUGACCGGCAACAUUGGGACUGAGAUACUGCCAAGAGUGGUAGGGGAGGCAGAAGGGGGGGAUAUUGCGCAAUGGAGGAACGCCUGAUGCAGGGACGCCGCGGGGGGGAUGAAGGCUUUCGGGUUGUAAACCUCGUUCGCUAUCGAACGGGUAGGUGGAGAAGAAGCGCCGGCUAACUACGGGCCAGCAGCCGCGGUAAUAC
rnacentral:rRNA from 1 species